UGCCGUUGAACUGCGUUUAAAAGAUUUAAAAGUCGAUAAUUGUGACUUUGGCGUGAUUAAACUGUCGUAUGUUGGUUGAUAUUGUGUCCGACUCGCCCUGUGCGUUGAGUCUUACUGUAAUUUGAGGCAAAUGUUUUAUUUAAUGAAUCGCGGUAAAAAGCCUGAAGGCUAAUGUUAGCAUGCUAGGCGGCCCCAGUACAGAGGGGAGGAAACCCCGUAGGUCCGGCUAACGGCUGCAUCCUGUCAGCUCCAGCCUGCGGAGUGUUUAUGGUGAUGCAGAUAUCGUUACGGGUGAUGGAGAUUGAAAAACCGACUGAAAGUCCAGAACUGUGCCGGGGUUAUUGAUUGAUGCCAGAACACAAGGUUAUAGCUGAUGCUUUUAUCCACUACUCAGUGAAGACAGCACAAAGAUUCCUAAAGCCAACGGUAAGGAGGUCAAAGGUUCUCGAGAGUUUCAUGGAUCUCCAUGGGGAUCUUGGAUGUGACUGUGCUCUACAGGAAGAAACAGAAACCCGAUCCAGAGGAACAACCGGUGGCCCAGUAAGAAAUCUGUGAAGGUUCUCAGUCAUCCAGGUCAUGGUAGAAGAUACUAGAAGACGUUUCGUCCCUCAUUCAAGAGACUUCUUCAGUUCCAGAACCUUUGUUGGAUGGGUGGCCUUCAGGUUUCUAAGGGGCUGAUACUACAUGCAAGGUGAACUAACCAGUUUUCCACGUUUCCUUCGUCUGAGCCAGCUGCCUGAGUCAAUUCGGGAGAGUUGGUGAAGAUAACGCUCAGACAGCCAAUAGAAUCAAUGCAGGAAAGUCACAUGGAGUCUUCCCACAUAAAUGUUCCUGUUGGUCAAAAUGAGUUAAAUUAAACAGACGACGGACCUGCUGGGCUCCUCACACCAGGCCUUCUUCACCAGGAAGACGACGAAGCUGAGGAAGAGGAAGAUGGAGACGGCGAUGAUGCCAGUGAGCCACUGAGGCAGCAGACGCUCGCUGAUCUGAGUCUGAUCUGCAACACAAGCACACAGAGAGUUACUGUCGGCACAGCUCGUACCUGUCUGGGCCGCCACGACUCCGACUGUCAGCAACAAACUGGAAAUCACUGCACAAAGUUUGGCCAUCGCUGGUUCUCCGCUCUGACUGAAGAAAAAAUAAACAGACGUUAAAAAACUUCGCACAAGUUUAAAGCUGAAGCUUCGGAGGUGGAGUUGAAACUAACAGCAGACGAGCAGCUCAGGUGAAGCAGCAGCUGGACCAAAGUGUUGCCUUACAAACCUCUUCCACUUUAAGGCCCCGCUUAUGUUAACAAGGCAGCGAGACUGAGGAGGACUGGACUGGAGAUUUGUUUACGUCUAUAAGUUUGACUCAUUUUCACAGACAGGGAGACUUAAAAACUCUAUAUACAAGAAAAAAGCAGCUUAAUAUGAUUAUCUUUAUCUAUAAUCAUCAACUAAUCUAUCAAAUAAUUAAUUAAUUGGUAAUCAGGCUGUCCUUAAUUAUCUUUGCAUGCAAAAUCCCCAUAAAUUCCUACCUAAUGUUAUAUAAAAACAUUUAUCUUUUAUUGAUUUAUCUUCAUCGAAUCAUCUUUAUUUGCCAGGUACGCAUACGAGGAAUUUGACUCUGGAAAUUUCCCUUCUCACGAUGUGCUUACUUAUGAAUUGCCACACACACACACACACAUAUAUAUGUGUGUGUGUGUGGCAAUUCAUAACAGAAGUUAUCUAAUUGCACUUUUCAUACAGAGAAGGUAUUAUUAAUCAGGGCUGUACAGUGAGAACAUUUCCCUGGCAUAACAAUAGAUAAGAUUUAUGAUUUGAUAUGAUUGACGAGUUAGCACUUUUAUAAUUACAAACCAAUGUAAAGCAUUUUUCUUGCACAAGGAUUUAAUGAAUAAAAACAACCCACAAAGGUGAAACUGCUGUAUUAAAUAUUCAACUAGUGCUAACCUAUAGAGUUCACUAUUAUAUGAAAUUAGUAACAUUAUAUUAUACUAUUAAAUGAAUCUCAUGCUUUUUAUUUAAUGUUACACUCCUCCAGGUUGUGGAUAGAGCCUCUGCCAGGUUGCCAUGGAAACAUUAUAAUGAUAAGAAUCUAAAACUAUGUGAAUAUUCAGUUUUUAGUCGAAACAGAGCCUGAAGUCACUCGCUUCCGCUUCCGGCCCGUGGGACGUUAUUUUGGAAAGUUCGGUAUUUUUUUGAUCCGGUUUGAACUGAGCCCUGAAUCACACACGUUUGUCAAUUUAAAGUAUGAUUUUGUCCGUCAAGAAAGCCGCAGUUUGUCGUAAAACAGUAAAGUUGCGUGUCUUUUUGUGUGAAACCCGUUCAAUGAACUACAUCUCUCGUCUCGCACAAUAUACGUCAAAAACAAUAAACAUGGUAAUGCUAGCUAACGUUCAUUGCUGCUAAUAAGAUAACUCAGCUGUGUUCCACGCAGAAAUAUAUCUCGCCUGUUGUGUUUAAUCCAACGACUCUCUGUCCUUUUAUCACAUCAUCCUCUCAUGGAAGUUCUUUGACGUUAGCUUCAGUCAUUGAGAGAAACUGUUACGACGUCACGUAUUUGCGGCCUGUGUAAUUAUGUAUUUUCACAGUCUUAUACCUCAACAGUUUUACAUCAAACUGCGACUUUCAAAUGUAGAUUUUAAAUUGACAAACAUCAUGUGUGUAAUUUUUUCCAAAGGUCCCGUGGUGGUCCAGCGGAAGGGGAGGGACUUAGGCAUCAAAUAUUCUACACCGACAGUGUUUAUUUUCCUUUUUGUCACUCACAGGCCUGUUAAAGGAAUAUUCCACUGAAAAUAAUGAAAAACUCACCCCCUGGAGUCGGGAGAGGGGCGUCUUGUGUCUUCUGAGGACAGCAGCUGUGGUCAGUUCGUCCAACCACCUCUGCAGCAUGAUGAACCAGCCCUCUGUCCACCCGAACGAUUUUACUUCAUUCACAUUUUUUGGCAAAAUAUGGCUGAAUCAGGUGCAUCAACAAGCAGAAGAAAGAAUUGAGCCAUAUUUUGGUAAAAAUAUGAGGACGUUCUAAUGAAAAUGUUAUUUUUACAUUAUAGAGCCAUAUGUACAUUUACCCUGCUCACAAUUAAAUUUAACUAUGAAAAUACA